AGAGUUAGUUCCACUAGGGCCGAAAUAAGUUACAGACAUCACCAUCUACUACUAUUAUGAUUCAUGACAACCCAAAGCUAUCCAAUGCUGUCUCACGACUGCAAACAGUGGAUUAGGCAGAACAAUAUCGUGACAGAUACACGAGUUUUAGAUAAAAAAUGGAUGUAAUAUAAAUGUGGGAAAUAUUUUUUGAUCACCCAUCUGAUGAAGAUGAGGAUAACUUCUAACCUCCACGGGAACAUCAUAUAAGGAUCCCACAUUUUUUUGAAAACAUUGUCGUAAUAUACUCAUUGACAGAUUUUAAAUCACAUUUUCGAGUGGAAAAGACAACAUUUGAACAACUAGUAUAAACACUUGGACCACGUCUGAAUGCGCACGACCCUGAAAACGUGUCUCCAAAUAAGCAAAUAGCUAUUGCCUUAUGAUUCUUUGGUAAUCAGGAAGUAUAUAAGUCAAUAGCAGAUAGAUUUGAAAUAUCUAAGGACACUGUUUGGAGAAUUGUAUUUCAAGUAGCAAUAUUAUUAACUGAAGAUGUUGGUACAUAUAUUAAAUGGCCUGAACCUCACGAAAUGAUAAAGAUAGAAAGAGAAUUUCGUAAAAUUAAUGGUUUUCUUGGCGUCAUUGGAUCAAUCGAUGGUUCCCACAUAGCAAUAAGUGCACCAACAGAAAAUAGCGACAAUUAUAUUAACCAUAAAGAUUACCAUUCUAUAGUUACAAGGGAUUUGCGAUUAUAUUAGGACCUUAACUUAGUUUCCGCCCGCAAAUGUUAGAUGGCAAUGC